AUACUCACCUGGCAGGGGAGACACCAUGAUUACGAUUGUGGUUUUCCCAGAACAAGGCUAAUCCACACUGCACUCCAGAUGUGCUGACCCCUAGGAUUUCCCCAAACAUGGGAAACUUGACUGCAUAAUCUUGGCAGUGGGGGACUGCAUUCAUGCUCUUCCCUG